rnacentral:rRNA from 1 species
AUUGAACGCUGGCGGCAGGCCUAACACAUGCAAGUCGGACGGUAGCACAGAGGAGCUUGCUCCUCGGGUGACGAGUGGCGGACGGGUGAGUAAUGUCUGGGGAUCUGCCCGAUAGAGGGGGAUAACCACUGGAAACGGUGGCUAAUACCGCAUAACGUCGCAAGACCAAAGAGGGGGACCUUCGGGCCUCUCACUAUCGGAUGAACCCAGAUGGGAUUAGCUAGUAGGCGGGGUAACGGCCCACCUAGGCGACGAUCCCUAGCUGGUCUGAGAGGAUGACCAGCCACACUGGAACUGAGACACGGUCCAGACUCCGACGGGAGGCAGCAGUGGGGAAAAUUGCACAAUGGGCGCAAGCCUGAUGCAGCCAUGCCGCGUGUAUGAAGAAGGCCUUCGGGUUGUAAAGUACUUUCAGCGGGGAGGAAGGCGAUGUGGUUAAUAACCGCGUCGAUUGACGUUACCCGCAGAAGAAGCACCGGCUAACUCCGUGCCAGCCGCCGCAGUAA